AUCCUGGCUCAGAUUGAACGCUGGCGGCAUGCCUUACACAUGCAAGUCGAACGGCAGCACGGGGCAACCUGGUGGCGAGUGGCGAACGGGUGAGUAAUGCAUCGGAACGUGCCAUUGAGUGGGGGAUAACGUAGCGAAAGUUGCGCUAAUACCGCAUAUUCUGUGAGCAGGAAAGCAGGGGACCGCAAGGCCUUGCGCUCUUUGAGCGGCCGAUGUCAGAUUAGCUAGUUGGUGAGGUAACGGCUUACCAAGGCGACGAUCUGUAGCGGGGUCUGAGAGGAUGAUCCGCCACACUGGAACUGAGACACGGUCCAGACUCCUACGGGAGGCAGCAGUGGGGAAUUUUGGACAAUGGGCGCAAGCCUGAUCCAGCCAUGCCGCGUGAGUGAAGAAGGCCUUCGGGUUGUAAAGCUCUUUCGGCCGGGAAGAAAUCGCAUGGGUUAAUACCCUGUGUGGAUGACGGUACCGGAAUAAGAAGCACCGGCUAACUACGUG
rnacentral:rRNA from 1 species